rnacentral:tRNA from 1 species
UUGGCUGUAGUUUAGUGGUGAGAAUUCCACGUUGUGGCCGUGGAGACCUGUGCUCUAAUCCCAGCAGCCACA